GAGCACGUAGGUGGGUUUGUAAGUCAGAUGUGAAAGCCUUCUGUUCAACGGAAGAAUUGCAUCUGAAACUGCGAGUCUUGAGUGUAGGGGGGGAGAAUGGAACUUCUGGUGGAGCGGUGAAAUGCGUAGAUAUCAGAAGGAACUCCGGCGGCGAAAGCGAUUCUCUGGCCCAUUACUGACACUCAGUGUGCGAAAGCUAGGGGAGCAAACGGGAUUAGAUACCCCGGUAGUCCUAGCCGUAAACGAUGGGCACUAAGUAGAGGGGUUUU
rnacentral:rRNA from 1 species